UUUCCGUAGGUGAACCUGCGGAAGGAUCAUUGUUGUAUAACCGAGGUGCGAGGGCUGUCGCUGACCCGACGGGUCGUGCACGCCCGAGUGCCCUCACACACAUCCAUCUCACCCCUGUGUGCACCACCGCGUGGGUCCCCCUUUGGCUUGUUCGGAGGGGGGCUUACGUUUUCACUCAAACUUUGUAUGCAGUGUAGAAUGUAUUUUUUGUUUUUGCGAUCACGCAAUCAAUACAACUUUCAACAACGGAUCUCUUGGCUCUC
rnacentral:misc_RNA from 1 species